GACGAACGCUGGCGGCGUGCUUAACACAUGCAAGUCGAACGGUAACACGCCUUCCUUUUUGGUUUGUGUGGAUGAGUGCCGAACGGGUGAGUAAGACGUGAGUAACCUGCCCCCUUCUUCUAGAUCACCGCAUAACGGUGUGGCUAAUCCGGUAUCUUCUGGGUCUCUCGCAUGAUGGGUUUGGGACAGCUCUUGUUUCGUUGGGGGCUGGUCCCACUUGGUAUCAGCUAGUUUGUGGGGUGACGGCCUACCCAGGCGGCGACGGCUAGCUGGUCUGAGAGGAUGAGCAGCCACACUAGAACGGAGACACGGUCCAGACGCCUACGGGAGGCAGCAGUGGGGAAUAUUACACAAUGGGCGCAAGCCUGAUGCAGCCAUGCCGCGUGUAUGAAGAAGGCCUUCGGGUUGUAAAGUACUUUCAGCGGGGAGGAAGGGAGUAAAGUUAAUACCUUUGCUGAUUGACGUUACCCGCAGAAGAAGCACCGGCUAACUACGUG
rnacentral:rRNA from 1 species